CCCAGCGCGGCAACGCAAGCGAUCCCGGAGAACCUGGCAGGUGCCCCGGGGAGACUUCUCUUUUCUCGCUGAAGGGCAGGGCGCCCUGGAAUGGGUUCGCCCCGAGAGAGGGGCCCGCGCCCUGGAAAGCGUCGCAUUCAGGCGGCGUCCGGUGAGCCCCUGUCGGCCCUUGAAAAUCCGGGGGUGAAAAUAUCGCGCCAGGCCGUACCCAUAUCCGCAGCAGGUCUCCAAGUUGAACAGCCUCUGGCAUGUUAGAACAAGGUGGGUAAGGGAGUUUCACUGUAGUCGGCAAGUCAGAUCCGUAACUUCGGGACAAGGAG